rnacentral:misc_RNA from 1 species
UUUAUUUAUUUAUUUUUUUGUUAUUGAGGACAUUCUAGGAAAUAAGUAUAAAUGAAUUUCAAUUUUAAAACAAUACCAAACAUUAAUUAUUUGGAUUUCUAUUGAAUUAUGCAUUUUAAGUUGUAUUAUACGAAUCACAAGAAUUCAUUUACAUAUGAAUUUUCUAACUAGAAUUCACUCUAAAUGAAUCUGCGAUUUUCUGGGGGUGCUCAUAUUUAUGUAUUCUUUUGUUCCUUUGGUCUUGUUUUUAUAAAUUUUAUCAAACUUUUUAAUCCUCUGGAAGAAUGUCCCUCAAACUGUAAUACAAUUUUAAUUUCAACAUUUCUGUUUUCUUGGUUUCUUCAGAUUCUUCAGUUUAUUAUAGUUAACGUGUUAUUAACUCCGUGAGAAAAAAAUCAAUAACUUGUAUGUUUGCAAGAUGUAAUUUGGUAUUCUAGAUUUUGCAAUCUGUCCAAGUUCUUGAUUGGAUAGUUGGAAUUGGUCGUACAACGUUUGCAACGUAGACCACGAAUGGCAUCCUUCCUUCUAAAUGUUAUCUGCACCCUUGGUUCAUAUUUUGGCAUGAGCUCUGCUAUUUGCAGCUUCUUCAAUGUGUUUGUAGUAAUUCUUCAUGAUUGUAAAGAAUUUUUAUUGUUUGUUCUUUUACUGGUUCUCAUAGCAAAGGAGGACCAAGAGCCUUUACCUCUGCACCAAUAUGCAGGAGAAUUGAUGCCACCACUCUAGAGACCUCAGAUGGCAUCACAAUUCAAAUCAGUGGCUUCAUAAAUAGGUCUCAAACACAUCAAAAUGGCUUCCCAUUUACGGUAUGUAUUCCUUUUUUAUUUUGUUUUCGUUCUUCUUUUGUUUGAAAUAAUAUCUUUGUCCCAACUUCAUAUUGUUUGUCUAUGUGUUGUCUUGCAAGUAAUGCUAAAAAAUAAAUGAUUUGAGGAAUAAUGAUGAAGGAAUAACUCACUGGUUUUCUCAUUUAUUGGGAAUUCUUUACUUGAGAAGGUUUAUAGUAUAUGUCAACAAUCAACAUUAGAUAGGACCAAAUAAAUUCUUGAUAGUGAUGUCCUUAUCCUGAAAUGAGAAGCGAAAUGCUUCCCUCGAAGAUAGAAAAAGUUUGUAACUGCUGGCUGCCGAGUGCCAUUCUGGUUAAAUGGUUAUGAGUUGUAUCAGCUGGGCCUGCAAACAAUCCCCCUGCCCACUUUUCUUUUGGAUCAAGUCCCAAUUCAGCCGUUGAUCUCAUCAGGUUUGCAAUAGUUUCCUGCUUGGCUUUCCAUAUCGCUGGGAAGAGUGUGUUAGUCAAUGCUGUGGUGAAGAAUCUUCUAAAAGUUCAGGCACUGAUGCAAGUACUUUCUUACCAUUGACUUUGGAUAAUCUUCCAGCAACAAGGCUACGUGAUCAUGUUAUGUGCUUUCCUGAAGAUUCUGAAAAUUUUAUUUGUGAUAUCUUGGGAAAACUCAGGGACAAUGCAUUCCAAUAUGCUUCAGUGGCAGGCAAUUCAAACUUGGCAAAUGAAUGUCCAAACUCUGAAAUCGAAGAAACUUUGAGGAAUCAUAAGAAGGUGAAGACUGAUCAGAUGCACAUAGAUGAUGAUGACAGAAUCUUGGAAGCAAGAGAUGUAGUAACCAAAGUUAACCAAAGUAAAGGUGUUGUCACAAGAAGUAUGUCGAGAUCAAGGAAUUUUAGAAGCAACAUUGGGGGUGAAACUGGUGCUCAGCUUUCAACAUCAGCAGCCAAAAAGAACGAAUCAGCAGGAGUUGUAUGUGCACUGUAUGCGAGUUCCACAUAAGUAUUACCUUGACAGGAUGAGAAAGUUGCUGAAGUUCCUGAUACAUCUACAAUCAGAAGGUCUGGUAGGCUGAAGAACCAUAUGCUGGUAUGGAUAAUUGAUUGCCAAAAACUCAAAAAUAGCAAAGUCUACCAGUUCUAAUGGAUUUUUUUUUCAUGUAAAAGUCUAAUGCUAGUAUCAAUAUUAUGUAUGACAACCAAAAUACUUGAAUUCUAUAACAUUGGUACAUUACUUUGGUCAUACAUUGUGUUAGAAUGGUGACUUUUAGGCAGUGGAAUACCCUUAAUUGUUUGAUGUUACUUUAGCUUUUAUGUAUAGUUUUUAAGCAGAAAUCAUUACAUCCUGUGUCAUUUCUUUUUGGCUUAAUGUCAAGGCUUU